UACGAAGGGGGCUAGCGUUGUUCGGAAUCACUGGGCGUAAAGGCGCGUAGGCGGCCGAUCAAGUCGGGGGUGAAAGCCUGUGGCUCAACCACAGAAUUGCCUUCGAUACUGUUUGGCUUGAGACCGGAAGAGGUUAGUGGAACUGCGAGUGUAGAGGUGAAAUUCGUAGAUAUUCGCAAGAACACCAGUGGCGAAGGCGGCUCACUGGCCCGGUACUGACGCUGAGGUG
rnacentral:rRNA from 1 species